rnacentral:rRNA from 1 species
GAUGAACGCUGGCGGCGUGCCUAAUACAUGCAAGUCGAGCGAACAGACGAGGAGCUUCUCCUUUGACGUUAGCGGCGGACGGGUGAGUAACACGUAGGUAACCUACCUAUAAGACUGGGAUAACUUCGGGAAACCGGAGCUAAUACCGGAUAAUAUUUCGAACCGCAUGGUUCGAUAGUGAAAGAUGGCUUUGCUAUCACUUAUAGAUGGACCUGCGCCGUAUUAGCUAGUUGGUAAGGUAACGGCUUACCAAGGCAACGAUACGUAGCCGACCUGAGAGGGUGAUCGGCCACACUGGAACUGAGACACGGUCCAGACUCCUACGGGAGGCAGCAGUAGGGAAUCUUCCGCAAUGGGCGAAAGCCUGACGGAGCAACGCCGCGUGAGUGAUGAAGGUCUUCGGAUCGUAAAACUCUGUUAUUAGGGAAGAACAAACGUGUAAGUAACUGUGCACGUCUUGACGGUACCUAAUCAGAAAGCCACGGCUAACUACGUG